rnacentral:rRNA from 1 species
UUAUACCGCGAAACUGCGAAUGGCUCAUUAUAUAAGUUAUCGUUUAUUUGAUAAUACUUUACUACUUGGAUAACCGUGGUAAUUCUAGAGCUAAUACAUGCUGAAAAUCCCGACUUCGGAAGGGAUGUAUUUAUUAGAUUAAAAACCAAUGCCCCUCGGGGCUCUCUGGUGAAUCAUGAUAACUAGUCGAAUCGACAGGCCUUGUGCCGGCGAUGGCUCAUUCAAAUUUCUUCCCUAUCAACUUUCGAUGUUUGGGUAUUGGCCAAACAUGGUGGCAACGGGUAACGGAGGGUUAGGGCUCGACCCCGGAGAAGGAGCCUGAGAAACGGCUACUACAUCCAAGGAAGGCAGCAGGCGCGCAAAUUACCCAAUCCCGACACGGGGAGGUAGUGACAAUAAAUACUGAUACAGGGCUCUUUUGGGUCUUGUAAUCGGAAUGAGUACAAUUUAAAUCCCUUAACGAGGAACAAUUGGAGGGCAAGUCUGGUGCCAGCAGCCGCGGUAAUUCCAGCUCCAAUAGCGUAUAUUAAAGUUGUUGUGGUUAAAAAGCUCGUAGUUGAACCUUGGGCCUGGCUGGCCGGUCCGCCUCACCGCGUGCACUGGUCCGGCCGGGCCUUUCCCUCUGCGGAACCCCAUGCCCUUCACUGGGUGUGGCGGGGAAACAGGACUUUUACUUUGAAAAAAUUAGAGUGCUCAAGGCAGGCCUAUGCUCGAAUACAUUAGCAUGGAAUAAUAGAAUAGGACGUGU